rnacentral:snRNA from 1 species
GGAUGUGAGGGCGAUCUGGCUGUGAAAUCUGUCACCCCAUUGAUUGCCAGGGUUGAUUCAGCUGAUCUGGCUGGCUAGGUGGGUGUCCCCCUCCUCCCUCACCGAUCCACGUGCAUCCCUCCCGAAGCUGCACGCUCGGUCGAAGAGGAUGACCUCCCGCCCCCGAGGAGAGGACCAGUCUUCGGUCAAGGGUAUAUGAGUAGCUGCGCUCCCCUGCUAGAACCUCCAAACAAGCUCUCAAGGUCCAUAUUAUGGAAUACUAUCUAUCUACACUAAUAAAAGACAAAGAUGCUGACCAUACCUU